GAUGAGAUGCCUGAAUAAAGGAUUAUUUUGAUAGAAUAAAUCAUGUAGACUUCUACUCUCAUUA
rnacentral:tRNA from 2 species